GCAGGGGGCACUUCAAGUCUGCGGUCAAAAGGUCGGAGCCUUAACUCCGGUUCGGCAAGUGGAAACUGGAGUGCUAGAGGCAGACAGGGGUAGAGGGAAUUCCCAGGGUAGCGGUGAAAUGCGUAGAGAUUGGGAAGAACACCGGUGGCGAAAGCGCUCUACUGGGUCGCACCUGACCCUCAGGGACGAAAGCUAAGGUAGCGAAAGGGAUUAGAUACCCCUGUAGUCUUAGCCGUAAACGAUGGAUACUAGGCGUGGUUUGUAUCGACCCAAGCCGUGCCGAAGCUAACGCGUUAAGUAUCCCGCCUGGGGAGUACGCACGCAAGUGUGAAACUCAAAGGGAUUGACGGGGGCCCGCACAAGCGGUGGAGGAUGUGGUUUAAUUCGAUGCAACGCGAAGAACCUUACCAGGGCUUGACAUCCCGCGAAUCUUGCUGAAAGGUGAGAGUGCCUUCGGGAGCGCGGAGACAGGUGGUGCAUGGCUGUCGUCAGCUCGUGUCGUGAGAUGUUGGGUUAAGUCCCGCAACGAGCGCAACCCUCGUCCUUAGUUGCCAGCAUUAAGUUGGGCACUCUAGGGAGACUGCCGGUGACAAACCGGAGGAAGGUGAGGAUGACGUCAAGUCAGCAUGCCCCUUAUGCUCUGGGCGACACACGUCCUACAAUGGUCGGGACAAAGGGGAGCAAGCUCGCGAGAGUAAGCGAAUCCCAGCAAACUCGGCCUCAGUUCAGAUUGCAGGCUGCAACUCGCCUGCAUGAAGGAGGAAUCGCUAGUAAUCGCAGGUCAGCAUACUGCGGUGAUUCGUUCCCGGGCANUGUACACACCGCCCGUCACACCAUGGAAGCUGGCCAAGCCCGAAGUCGUACCAUAACCGUUUGGAGGGGGGCGCCGAA
rnacentral:rRNA from 1 species